CCUACGGGUGGCAGCAGUGAGGAAUAUUGGUCAAUGGGCGCGAGCCUGAACCAGCCAAGCAGCGUGAAGGAUGACUGCCCUACGGGUUGUAAACUUCUUUUAUAAAGGAAUAAAGUGAGGCACGCGUGCCUUUUUGCAUGUAUUUUAUGAAUAAGGAUCGGCUAACUCCGUGCCAGCAGCCGCGGUAAUACGGAGGAUCCGAGCGUUAUCCGGAUUUAUUGGGUUUAAAGGGAGCGUAGAUGGGUUGUUAAGUCAGUGGGGAAAGUUUGCGGCUCAACCGUAAGAUUGCAAUUGAAACUGGCAGCCUUGAGUACGGUAGAGGUAGGCGGAAUUCGUGGUGUAGCGGUGAAAUGCAUAGAUAUCACGAAGAACUCCGAUUGCGAAGGCAGCCUACUAGACUGCCACUGACGUUGAGGCUCGAAAGUGUGGGUAUCAAACAGGAUUAGAUACCCCAGUAGUC
rnacentral:rRNA from 1 species